rnacentral:lncRNA from 1 species
CACAAAUAUGGCGCCUCCACCCGUUUUCCCAACCCCUACAUACCGUGGCUGCAUAAAGUGCGAGAGCGAGAGUAGAGAGUAACAAGGGGUAGGGAUAGGAAGGAAGAAAGGGCAAGAGAGAGUAACCAUGCUUUCUCUUCUCUCUCUCUCUCACUCCUUCCGUGAAUAGAAUAUAUGUAGACGCACGUAUCUCACUCUCACUCCCUCAUCACGGUUGCGAACGUACAUGCGCAAGUAGUGAAGACCGGGUUGCUCGCGUGUGUGGUAAGGGGAUGCCCCUAUGUGAAUAUCGCGCAGCACACAGUCCCAAGCAGUUUCCUACUUGAUUGCCGCUAUCGUCCAGCAGCCUCGUAAGGGAAGCCGUCCGCGUGGAUUCUGUUACUACACCUCGACCAAUCAGAACGUUCAAAGUCGAGCCUUGGCCAAUCGUAGCCUUAUACGCCCUACCACUCUGUGCUACUGGCGCAAAGACUCGAAUGAGAGCUCGUCCUCGUCCAAUCCUCGACGUGACUUUUUCGAUCGACGUCAGCAUGUUUAGUCCGCGCGGACUUCUUCGUUCUCUCUCUUUCUCGCGUUCUCUAUGGCCAUAGCUAUACGAAAUGAAGGUGCUACGCGAAGCCGCAGCGAAACAUGAAAAAUAGGGGGCUACACGAGGAAAAACACGGUUGAGGGAGGAGGUGGAGAAGGUGGUGCUGGUGAAGGAUGAAGAGGAGGUGGAAGAGGACUCUGUGGGAUGGACCCUACGAACCGAAACAGCAAAGGCUGUUCAGGGUGAUGUGAUGUGGUGGUGGUGAUGGUGGCAGCGGUGGUGGUAACGGUGGCGGCGGUGGUGCUGCGCCGGUCGGAAGAUAGAAAGGCCGAGGAUGAGAAUGGAAAAGUAACAUAACGAAACGUCGAUCCCAUUACCUGAAGCUCUCUCGCUCUGCCGUACAGCGAGCCUUGCUUUCGACCCUUAAUCCAAAGAAGGAUUAGAAAACCCCAUUGUCAUGCUUCGCGGAACGCGAGAUGAGUCGUAUAUUCGUCGGUUGGUGCAUGGCGGAGGCGAUGGUGCGGGACCUACCCUUAAUGAAAUAAAUACGUGACGUACCGCGGCAACGGUGGGUUUUGUUUAUCGCGAAAACCGUGAGCGUAUUUUGCUUUGUCUCUCUCUCUUUCUCCCUUCCUCUCUUUUCUCAGGUGCGGCUCUUUAUCUCCUUUCCACCGAGUGAAGAAGGAAUAUAAGGUAGUACCGUGGAGUGUUGGCGUAGCUGUCGGUCGCGCUUGGUCGGCUGCGGUUUAUACGAGAGCCGCCUUGCCAGCCGCUUGCCGCCUGCCGCAGCCGGUUUGCGUGUUCACCGUGUUCGCUCCGUAGAUACGUGUCCUCGGUGCGGCUCUGCGCGGUACUCACCGAACUCUGGCCAAAGCGCGACCGAGAGGGAAAAGGAACGAAAGUGGCGCGUAGACGAGAAGCACGCGAGCAAGUGCAAGAGAGAUCGAACGAUACCGUGAAAAGCGAUAGCGAGAGAGACCCCAAUAAGCGGCAGAACCAGUCGCUGCGGUUGCCGCGGCUAACCACACCGAUGUUCUCAACCUGCGGCGAUCUUGCCCGAUCAUCGCGGAUCUUGCGAAUUACGAAAAGCUGCAAGAUAGUGCAACGCGAAGCGUUCGACCGUGUAAGAGGAUAGAAGUAACGCAGGAAGGAAGAUAAAGAAAAACGUGACACUAGGCCCCUUUGGAAUUUACCUUUGCGCAAGAAAAAGAGUCAACAGCUUAGAGCCUCGUUAACUCGCCAAACUUGGCCGAUGGGUUUCCGAGCAUUGGGAGAGUCUAGCAGGAAUACAACAUAUACAUUUAAUUACUCGUUACUGUUCUUUCCUCCUAUUUCUCUUUCGAACCCUGUUCCGUAAUCUCGAAACGAAUUCGUUUCGUCUGUUGCAGUUUCUUCUCGCUCCCGAUCCUUCUCCGUUCUCCACGCUUUCAUGCUCGCACGCACGAAGCGAAUCAGCGAAUUACGACGAUUGAAAUUCAAUUCUGCGCGCAACCGAGCGGCUAAUUAGACGCAGUUGCUGUGGCAACGCCACGUGUUGCACUAGCUCGUGCGAUCGCGCGUAUACGCCCGCAUAAACGCCCGCAUCCUAGUAUCCUCCUCGCUUAGGGAACGCGGGCAAGACUUAUGUGUACAUACUCUUGCUUGCCUCUCUCUCCCUCUUUCUCUCGAUAUACCUUCAAAGGACAGGUGUAUCAAAUGAUUAAAAGCGAUUAUGCAGGUAUCUUUUUCAAGAUUUGUCAGAUAUUCUAUCAAGGGAUAUAUACUCUUUGAUUUAUAUUUUCAAAUAUAUUAAAUCUU